UACGAAGGGGGCUAGCGUUGCUCGGAAUCACUGGGCGUAAAGCGCACGUAGGCGGAUUUCUAAGUCAGGGGUGAAAUCCUGGAGCUCAACUCCAGAACUGCCCCUUGAUACUGGAGAGCUUGAGUCCGGAAGAGGUGAGUGGAACUCCGAGUGUAGAGGUGAAAUUCGUAGAUAUUCGGAAGAACACCAGUGGCGAAGGCGGCUCACUGGUCCGGUACUGACGCUGAUGUGCGAAAGCGUGGGGAGCAAACAGG
rnacentral:rRNA from 1 species